rnacentral:tRNA from 1 species
GCCAAUUUAGCUCAGUGGUAGAGCAUUCGCCUUGUAAGCGAACGGUCAUCGGUUCAAGUCCGAUAAUUGGCUCCA